rnacentral:rRNA from 1 species
UACAGAGGGUGCAAGCAUUGAUCGGAAUUACUGGGCGUAAAGGGCGCGUAGGCGGUUAUAAAAGUCAGAUGUGAAAUUCCGGGGCUCAACCCCGGAGCUGCAUUUGAAACUCUAUAGCUAGAGUUCAGUUAGGGUAAACGGAAUUCCACGUGUAGCGGUGAAAUGAGUAGAUAUGUGGAAGAACACCGGUGGUGAAGACGGUUUACUGGACUGAGACUGACGCUGAGGCGCGAAAGCAUGGGGAGCAAACAGG